ACUCUGGCAAGGAAGGGCUUGGAAGUGGCCUGCCGAAACAAGAAAACCUUUCCAGAUAUAAGUGCACCACAAUGACUGCACCAUUAUUUAUCACUGCAACUAUUCAGUGACAGUAUAAUCUGAGUGGAUCAAGGAAGCAACUGUUUCAGGCAAAGAACAAAUUAUCCAGCGAGGAAAGUUUCUUUUGCCAAGUGAAGAACAGUAUCUUUCAAAGAAUGGAACACUUGGGCCUAGUCUACACUACAGAGUUAGGUCAAUGCAAGGCGGCUUACGUCAACCUAAUUAUGUCAGUGACUACACUACAAUGUUCCUCCCACCGAUGUAACUCACCUGCGAAGUCAACUUAACUUGACCUCUGCAAGAGGCAUAACACUUAAGUCAAUAUAGGUUGAUGCAGUGGCAGUAUAGACACGACGUUACUUAUGUCUACUUUAGUGGCCUCUGGGAGGUGUCCCACAAUGCCCUGCCAUGACUGCUCUGGUCACUGUUUUGAACUCUGCUGCACGGUGGCCAAGUACACAGGAAUACACCCCACCCCUUUUUGAAAUUCCACUUCCUGUUUGCUCGGCGUGGAGAGUUCACCUAGCCACUGCCCAGCUAAGCAUGCUGGCUACACAUUCCAAACGCACUCCUGCCUGAAGUGCACAGGAGGUGGUGGAUCUCCUGGUUCUGUGGGGAGAAGAGGCGGUACAGGCAAAACUCCAAUCCAGCCAUAGAAAUAUGGACAUCUAUGAGCAGAUCACUUGAGGCAUGAAGGAGAAGGGCUACAAGAGGGACCUGAAAGUGAAGGAGCUACAGCAGGCAUACCAGGAGGCAAACAGUCGCUCCUGGUGUGACGAUGCAGAUAUGCUACUUUUACAAGGAGCUGCUUACAAGAGGUAGUGAAAUAACUAGUGGAGGUAGACUGGCUAUCUGCUUCUCAUUGCCCAACACAGUUAGGUAGAGUAGGCCCUGCAAAACAUACGUGCACUGGGAUGUCCUGUGAAUCCUCCAUAGAGAUCUCAAGGAAACUUUCCUGUAUGUACUCUGCAAUCUGUUGCUGAAGGUUUUUGGGGAGGGCUGCCUUAUUUCUUCUGUCACAGUAGGACACUUUCCCAUGCCACUCAGCAAUU